AGGGUUGUGGCUCAGCGGUAGAGUGCUAGUCUCUCACGCACGGGACCCUGAGUUCGAUCCUCAGCAUCACUU
rnacentral:tRNA from 1 species